UACGGAGGGUGCGAACGUUAAUCGGAAUCACUGGGCGUAAAGCGCGCGUAGGCGGUUUGUUAAGUGGGAUGUGAAAUCCCCGGGCUUAACCUGGGAACUGCGCUUGUAACUGGCAAGCUAGAGUGUGGCAGAGGGGGGACUGGAAUUCUCGGUGGUAGCAGUGAAAUGGCGUAGAUAUCGAGAGGAACACCAGUGGCGAAGGCGAGUCCCUGGCAACACCUGACAUGAGGCACGAAAGCUAGGGGAGCAAACAGG
rnacentral:rRNA from 1 species